AAACAAACCGCGCGUGAAUAGGCAUAUUCGGUUUGUGAACUGUGCAUGAAAGUUACUGAUAAAACUCGUGAUUGUUAAUAACAUGGAACAUCGCCGAGACGAUUAUUCCAAAAGAUCGUGUGAGAACGGACACAUUUGGCAAUAAUAAGGGCGAAAUGUUAGCAGAACUGAUUCGACUGUCCCCAUGUUCACCAUACUUCUACCAUUCAAUAAACAAGAUACGAUCGCAAGCUGUCGUGUACUGACCAGCGGAGCGGCGCAUCAACAUACUAUGGGGAUUCUACAGCAAUGAUCUGGCUAUGAUCGAAUUUCAGCUCGCGAAUCGAUCCUAAACAACAUUGGGAACAAUCUGUGUUUCUCCAUCUAUUAUUCAUGUUUAAAGCAUAUAUAGUUUUAAAAAUG